UACGUAGGGGGCAAGCGUUGUCCGGAUUUAUUGGGCGUAAAGAGCGUGUAGGCGGUCAGGUAGGUCCGUUGUGAAAACUCGAGGCUCAACCUCGAGACGCCGAUGGAAACCAUCUGACUAGAGUCCGGAAGAGGAGAGUGGAAUUCCUGGUGUAGCGGUGAAAUGCGCAGAUAUCAGGAGGAACACCGGUGGCGAAGGCGGGUCUCUGGGCCGAAACUGACGCUGAGGAGCGAAAGCGUGGGGAGCGAACGGG
rnacentral:rRNA from 1 species